GACGAACGCUGGCGGCGUGCUUAACACAUGCAAGUCGAACGGAAAGGCCCUGCUUUUGUGUGGUGCUCGAGUGGCGAACGGGUGAGUAACACGUGAGUAACCUGCCCUUGACUUUGGGAUAACUUCAGGAAACUGGGUCUAAUACCGGAUAGGAGCUCCUGCUGCAUGGUGUGGGUUGGAAAGUUUCGGCGGUUGGGGAUAGACUCGCGGCUUAUCAGCUUGUUGGUGGGGUAGUGGCUUACCAAGGCUUCGACGGGUAGCCGGCCUGAGAGGGUGACCGGCCACAUUGGGACUGAGAUACGGCCCAGAAUCCUACGGGAGGCAGCAGGGGGGAAUAUUGCACAAUGGGCGGAAGCCUGAUGCAGCAACGCCGCGUGCGGGAUGACGGCCUUCGGGUUGUAAACCGCUUUCGCCUGUGACGAAGCGUGAGUGACGGUAAUGGGUAAAGAAGCACCGGCUAACUACGUG
rnacentral:rRNA from 1 species